rnacentral:misc_RNA from 1 species
GAAGAAAUCAUUUCCUGCAGUAUCAGUUUGUACAUUAGACUGGAAUCUAAAACUUAACGAGCUAUUUGAUAUGUGCAUCAAAUAAUGCUAGCUUUCGUAGUGUAAAUCCUGUAAACUUUCAUAUGUGAGUUUGGACCGUAAGUGUUCACAGUAAGUUCACCAUCUCAUUUACUUUGUAGAUACUGCAGGAGGUAGAACUUAGAUUUUAGAUUGACA